UUGCAUUAUCCACGCUCAUCUCAUGGGCUGGGUGUGUGGGCAUCGCGUGUGGGUGUACACUUAAACCGUAGUGUAUUGAGCUGGCGUGGCGAUGGUGUCACCUUUGAGCCAUGUCUGUGGUUUAACAGCCACAGGUGUAAUCGAGUGUCGGGCAGUGCUCUGCACCUGUUGUGGGGCCUAGCCGGCUCGUUUGCAUGCCAAUGAAUGCCCUUCAAAAGGUGUUCAUGGGCGGAUGGCACGUUUACUUUGAACAAAUUUGAGUGCUCAAAUCAGGCCGAUGUCGCCUGAAAAGUUUUGCAUGGAAUAAUGGAAUAGGACUUCGGUUCUAUUUCGUUGGUUUUCG
rnacentral:rRNA from 1 species